GGGUUGUGAGGUUAAGCGACUAAGCGUACACGGUGGAUGCCCUGGCAGUCAGAGGCGAUGAAGGACGUGCUAAUCUGCGAAAAGCGUCGGUAAGGUGAUAUGAACCGUUAUAACCGGCGAUGUCCGAAUGGGGAAACCCAGUGCAAUUCGUUGCACUAUCGUUAACUGAAUACAUAGGUUAACGAGGCGAACCGGGGGAACUGAAACAUCUAAGUACCCCGAGGAAAAGAAAUCAACCGAGAUUCCCCCAGUAGCGGCGAGCGAACGGGGAGCAGCCCAGAGUCUGAAUCAGCUUGUGUGUUAGUGGAACGGUCUGGAAAGUCCGACGGUACAGGGUGAUAGUCCCGUACACCAAAAUGCACAGGUUGUGAACUCGAAGAGUAGGGCGGGACACGUGGUAUCCUGUCUGAAUAUGGGGGGACCAUCCUCCAAGGCUAAAUACUCCUGACUGACCGAUAGUGAACCAGUACCGUGAGGGAAAGGCGAAAAGAACCCCGGCGAGGGGAGUGAAAAAGAACCUGAAACCGUGUACGUACAAGCAGUGGGAGCACCUUCGGGUGUGACUGCGUACCUUUUGUAUAAUGGGUCAGCGACUUAUAUUCUGUAGCAAGGUUAACCGUAUAGGGGAGCCGCAGGGAAACCGAGUCUUAACUGGGCGUUAAGUUGCAGGGUAUAGACCCGAAACCCGGUGAUCUAGCCAUGGGCAGGUUGAAGGUUGGGUAACACUAACUGGAGGACCGAACCGACUAAUGUUGAAAAAUUAGCGGAUGACUUGUGGCUGGGGGUGAAAGGCCAAUCAAACCGGGAGAUAGCUGGUUCUCCCCGAAAGCUAUUUAGGUAGCGCCUCGUGAAUUCAUCUUCGGGGGUAGAGCACUGUUUCGGCUAGGGGGUCAUCCCGACUUACCAACCCGAUGCAAACUACGAAUACCGAAGAAUGUUAUCACGGGAGACACACGGCGGGUGCUAACGUCCGUCGUGAAGAGGGAAACAACCCAGACCGCCAGCUAAGGUCCCAAAGUCAUGGUUAAGUGGGAAACGAUGUGGGAAGGCACAGACAGCCAGGAUGUUGGCUUAGAAGCAGCCAUCAUUUAAAGAAAGCGUAAUAGCUCACUGGUCGAGUCGGCCUGCGCGGAAGAUGUAACGGGGCUAAACCAUGCACCGAAGCUGCGGCAGCGACACUAUGUGUUGUUGGGUAGGGGAGCGUUCUGUAAGCCUGCGAAGGUGUGCUGUGAGGCAUGCUGGAGGUAUCAGAAGUGCGAAUGCUGACAUAAGUAACGAUAAAGCGGGUGAAAAGCCCGCUCGCCGGAAGACCAAGGGUUCCUGUCCAACGUUAAUCGGGGCAGGGUGAGUCGACCCCUAAGGCGAGGCCGAAAGGCGUAGUCGAUGGGAAACAGGUUAAUAUUCCUGUACUUGGUGUUACUGCGAAGGGGGGACGGAGAAGGCUAUGUUAGCCGGGCGACGGUUGUCCCGGUUUAAGCAUGUAGGCUGAUUAUCCAGGCAAAUCCGGAUAAUCAAGGCUGAGGUGUGAUGACGAGGCACUACGGUGCUGAAGUAACAAAUGCCCUGCUUCCAGGAAAAGCCUCUAAGCAUCAGGUAACAUCAAAUCGUACCCCAAACCGACACAGGUGGUCAGGUAGAGAAUACCAAGGCGCUUGAGAGAACUCGGGUGAAGGAACUAGGCAAAAUGGUGCCGUAACUUCGGGAGAAGGCACGCUGGUGUGUAGGUGAAGCCCCUGCGGGUGGAGCUGAGACCAGUCGAAGAUACCAGCUGGCUGCAACUGUUUAUUAAAAACACAGCACUGUGCAAACACGAAAGUGGACGUAUACGGUGUGACGCCUGCCCGGUGCCGGAAGGUUAAUUGAUGGGGUUAUCCGUAAGGAGAAGCUCUUGAUCGAAGCCCCGGUAAACGGCGGCCGUAACUAUAACGGUCCUAAGGUAGCGAAAUUCCUUGUCGGGUAAGUUCCGACCUGCACGAAUGGCGUAAUGAUGGCCAGGCUGUCUCCACCCGAGACUCAGUGAAAUUGAACUCGCUGUGAAGAUGCAGUGUACCCGCGGCAAGACGGAAAGACCCCGUGAACCUUUACUAUAGCUUGACACUGAACAUUGAGCCUUGAUGUGUAGGAUAGGUGGGAGGCUUUGAAGCGUGGACGCCAGUCUGCGUGGAGCCAACCUUGAAAUACCACCCUUUAAUGUUUGAUGUUCUAACGUUGGCCCCUGACCGGGGUUGCGGACAGUGUCUGGUGGGUAGUUUGACUGGGGCGGUCUCCUCCCAAAGCGUAACGGAGGAGCACGAAGGUUAGCUAAUCCUGGUCGGACAUCAGGAGGUUAGUGCAAUGGCAUAAGCUAGCUUGACUGCGAGCGUGACGGCGCGAGCAGGUGCGAAAGCAGGUCAUAGUGAUCCGGUGGUUCUGAAUGGAAGGGCCAUCGCUCAACGGAUAAAAGGUACUCCGGGGAUAACAGGCUGAUACCGCCCAAGAGUUCAUAUCGACGGCGGUGUUUGGCACCUCGAUGUCGGCUCAUCACAUCCUGGGGCUGAAGUAGGUCCCAAGGGUAUGGCUGUUCGCCAUUUAAAGUGGUACGCGAGCUGGGUUUAGAACGUCGUGAGACAGUUCGGUCCCUAUCUGCCGUGGGCGCUGGAGAAUUGAGGGGGGCUGCUCCUAGUACGAGAGGACCGGAGUGGACGCAUCACUGGUGUUCGGGUUGUCAUGCCAAUGGCACUGCCCGGUAGCUAAAUGCGGAAGAGAUAAGUGCUGAAAGCAUCUAAGCACGAAACUUGCCCCGAGAUGAGUUCUCCCUGAGACUUUAAGUCUCCUGAAGGAACGUUGAAGACGACGACGUUGAUAGGCCGGGUGUGUAAGCGCAGCGAUGCGUUGAGCUAACCGGUACUAAUGAACCGUGAGGCUUAACCUUACAACGCCGAAG
rnacentral:rRNA from 2 species